UGUCGUUUCUAUCACAUUUGAUCCAGUACCACGAUUGUUGGUAUUGACGAUACCGGUAUUCUUAAGCCUUUUGUGUUCAUUGAAUGGUAAUAGGGGUGAACAAUAUUGGGGGGUGCGGAAUCGUUGCAUACAGCAACACUGAAGGAGCUACAUACACUGCAUCCUUCAAAGGAUGUGGCCCCUGAAUCCAGACGCAGCUUAUAUUUCGGCAUCGAUCAGCACAUCCUUAGAGUCAUUUGUUGAGAAAUAUUUAAAGAGCAGCUCGGGAGUCCUGCUUCCCAUCAUCGGAGCGGCCAUGACGCAUUCGGCCGAGCAGCCUGUAGGCCGCUGCCGUGCCGUCUUGGCGGGAUGGUCCCUGUCCCUCGGAGAGCAGCUAAGCUCAGUACCGAUUUAUGCUGGUGUAUCUAUACUCCACAAAAAGGCGAAUGGAGGUGAGUAUUUUGUUCAGAAAAUUGCACCGAUAGCAUUUUUUUUGUAUUCCCAAAGUUUAAAUUAAGCAAUUACAAAAUAAGUAGAAAAAAAACUGUAUAAAACAGUGCCAUUACUGAUAUCAAUUGUUAUCCAACAUGAAACCAACAAUGAAACCAACAGGCAUAUAUUCCAAAUGAUAAAUGAUAUAUUUAAUUAGGUUUUUUGGUACACUUCCCGUGACCCAGUAGGACAAGUGGGUUGGAAAAUGGCUGGCUGGUACACUUGUUUAUAACACUUUGCACACCCCAUCUUGGACCACUGAACACAUUUGGAGUCAUCUUGGACUAUCCUUCUGUGCAGAAACUUUUAAGGUCCUUAACCUUCUUAGUUUUGCAUAUAUGGGCUGCCGGCUUUUGAAAGGUACCUGAAAUAGCCGUUACAUGUCUUCUGUUUUGUUUUCAUCGACUCAUUGCACUGAUUAUAUACAGGCAUCUCUUUGGUCACUGUAUUGCUGGAAGGUUCACUGACAACCUCAGCUUCCUGGAAAAGGCAAUCAAGUUUUUGGCUCAGAUUAACUAGUCCUUGGUAUAACUUACCUGCCAUUGAUUUUAAAAUCAUCCUCUUCACCAUUGGCACCGAUUCGUAUUAUUACCCUGUAGCAGAUAGUGGUAUGUGUAGUUAUUUCUGUUUUGUCUUAGCACCAAUUUCCUCUCCUUGUGUUUAGCAAAAUGCAUCUUUCUCUUUUGCCUUGAGGAUUUGAUCUGAAGCCAAGUGUAGAAGUACGGUGGCCAAUAAGUGUCAACCUGCUGCAAAUUCAGAAAACACUUCAGAAUUCAACAACUCUGCAAAUUUGCUCACAACACAACAGAAGUUUCGGGGGAACAAUCGUUGAUAAAUUUUCAAAAAGAGGUAUAGGAUGACACAAUACAGUUUAUGACAAUAUAUUUUUUAAUUUGGGCUCCAUUAAAGAUUUAAUAUUUGUUGGUAAUUAAACAAUUAGUUAUUCUUGGCAGGAGCAGCCUUUUAUCUCGGGCUUAACUCCAGCUUUCCCUCACCUUAAAGACGCCGGAAAAUCCCACCAGAAACCACUAUUGGCUCUGAAAUAUCAGAAACAGUUGCGAGAUUGUGUGGUAACGUUGAGUCACGUUCUCCCAUUCUCUGUGAGUUGACAGUUGCUGCUUGUGUACAAACAUAGCUCAGUUCCAUUCAAGCAUCAGUUUGCAAUCAUUACUGAAGUAUGGGAAUAUCUACUAUUACAUCAUUAUGAAAAAACCACUGCAUGCUUGGAUUGUUACUAUUGCUGUGAUUGCUUCAGUUUUGAUUCUGCAAAACGAAUAUACUUCACAGCAUGUAGAAGUCUUGUUAUAAUUAGAGGGUUUCAAUCAUCCUAAUUGACAGCAAUGAUGCACAGGCCUCAGGACAGGCAGGGUGACUAGGAUGACCUCCACAUACGUGUACAAAGUAACUUAAACUGUUGCAAAACAAACGUGGAGUUAAAAAAAUAAUAGUAUUGUGUAUGUACAUAUUUGUUUAAAUUUGACUACAACCCGAUGGAUCCUUCUCUGCCCAGUCUAUCCCAUGACUGACUGCAUGGAGGUAGAACCCUGUUUGCAAAAAAGUUGAGAUGCGUGUAAAAUGUAAACAUAAACAAAGUGCAAUAUUACCCCAAACGUAACUGAAAACAGAACAAAGACAACAUAUCAAAAGUUGAAACUGAGUAAUUUCAUCAUUGUUUAAAAAUUCCCUGUUAGAAAUUUCAUUAUUUCAUUAAUUAUGACAAAUAUACUUGAAUUUGAUGCCAGCAACACAUUUCAGAAAAGUUGGGACAGCAUGUUUACCAGUGUUGCAUCACCUCUUCUUUUAACAACAACCUGUAAACCUUUGGGAACUGGGGAGACCAGGGGGGUGUUCCACGAAGCAGGAUUUCUCCGUUAGCUGGGUUUAACUUAGCUAAAGUUCAUGCUUGUCCA